GUGCGUAGGUGUAAUAGCAUGAAAGUCAUGGAGAAAUAAACAUUGAGAAGUUCAUCACUGUGUCUGCUAUUUGUCAAAUGUUUGCCUUCUUAGAAAGCAAAGUUUUUACGUUUUUAAUCCCGGGAUGGGGAGUGACCUAACUUCCUACCACCCUUUGGGGGAUCUUGGAAUUCCAGAGCUGCAAGGUUAUUCAUGUCAGUUAUUUACCCUUUCCAAAAGUUAACAAUUGAGGUCUUUAUUGAACAAGAUUUACAUUGAUCUCAAUAAUUCCUGAAGACUCACUUUUAACAACAGCUGGCGGUUUACUUAUGUGGUAGGAUCAGAUGUGGCAUCUGCCCCUCACUUGUCAGACGUGGAUGGCAGCACCUGACGAGUUGCAGCUUCUUGGAAGAGCAUCACUGCUCAGGACUGGCAUUUUUGGAAAGAGAGAAAAACAGACAAGACAGACAGGCACACCAUAGUACCAAAGGUUCCCCCAGUAUGGUUCCUCCAGGCUGGGCCUGGGCCUGGUUCUGUUCCAUGCCAAAGCAGGUGCUGCAUACACAGGUGGGAUAUUUUGCCAGACCUUCAAGAAUUUCAUAACUGCUGAGGCCCUUUUUCCCAUUAAUUAUUCCCAACUCAAAUAGCUCCUUUCUUGUACAACUCCGUUCCACAGACGGAAUGUUGAUUUCCUGUGAUUCCCACUGUCCUUCCUGGAACAUCUGAUCAAAGGAGAGCCUUUGCCCGGUGCUUGGGGCCCUGGGACCCAGCUGCCUUCAGUCUUCUCCUUGGCUUCCACUCCCAGUCUCUCUUCUGGCCACAAUAAGUCAUUUUCUUCUUCCCUCAUACACUCCUAAAGAAACAACCAGACAAACUGGGUUUAAUUACAGUUUGCCCUGCUGACUUCUUGGGACCCUUUAAGAUGUUUUCUUACCUUUUUUUUUUUUUUUUCUCCUUCCCCUCCUGCCUAAACAAAAAGGGAAGCGGGCUCUUGGGAAGGCUCGGCAGGAUUCCAGCAAGGCUCUUGUAUCCUGGCCAGCUCCAUUCUUCUGUUUCAGUCGAGCUUUUCACUGUGCUCUUUACUUCACCAUGCAGGCUCAGCAGUAAGCGUAGUAUUUGUAGGUAGUUGGCUGUGCCGAGUGGUCACCUACUUUUUGCUGUGUGGAGCUCAAGGGGAUGACGACCGCAUAGAGUGAGGGGACCAGUACGUGUUUAUUUUGUGGUCACUGAUGGUGAGGUGUCCUGACAACUAGGGACCAGGGGUGUGCUUACUGGAGGCCCAUGUGAGGUGAGGAGGCUGGUGGGGACCCGCCGUCCUCUCCCUCCCUCUCCCUCCUGCCACCACCACAGGUACAGCUGGCUCUGGAACUCCUUCUGACAACUCUCACACAUAGCUUGCAGUAGCUAAAGACCCCCAGAGCCUGCUUUCCCCCCUCAGGAUGCCUGUGUUUGGGAUGUUUCUCACGCUGCUCUGUUAGUACUGGAGGAGUUGCCACAUGUCUGUCAUUCCCAAGGGUGCUGGGGCUGGCAGGACCUUGACCGUGGCCUUUCUAAAGCCGGGCACACGCACCCCUCCCUGGUGGUGUCUUUGGGACUUGCCAUUCACAAGAGAGCCUUAGGGAAAGUCUGAUUUUCCAGAUCAGUUGUUCUUUCCUUCUUUCAGAAUGCACACUUUCUCCCCACAGAGACAUGUGUGUCUGUGUCUGUCUGUCUGUCUCUCUGUCUCUGUGGUGGGCAUGGGAAGCACAAUGGUGGAAGAGGAGCUACGAUCUGACGUAUGUGAGGCACAGAUUUUGCAUUAGGAUGGAUCAUGACACUCCCUGUCUUAAGAUGUCUCGCAACCCAGUACAG